UCCAGGCAAAGGCUGUCUUAGGAGCCAAGAGACCAACCAGGCGCCCAUUCACAGGACUGCUAGGACCGGGCAGGUCCUAAGCCAUCCAAAAAAGGACAGGACGACAAUGUGAAGACCAGGUUUGGAUCCUUCUCAGAAGUUUGUCUAGGAUCAUCCUUUCUCUUCCUGAGCCAACAGUAAGGUGUCUUGGGUGCCCGGCCGGACCCACUUUCCACGCUGUGGUCACACGGCUUGCUCUGGUUAUUCAGCCCGACUGUGAGCAAGCGGCGGGAGACGCCGGGGGAGGCCAAGUGGGCUCGGUAUGUGCGGGUGGAAUGCCACGGCCACGGCCGCAUUCCUCAGAGCACACCAACGCACCGGAAGCCCCGGGCAGCCGUUUCUCCACAACCCUGGGAAACUUGUCGUGGGUGAUGACCCGCACCCACUUGGUCUCCAUGCUGCCAAAUACAAUCUGAUGAAUUUACCCAAUUCUUUGCUUUAUCUUCUUUCUCCUCGGGGAAGUGCUCAAAAAGAGACCAACACCCAGUCCUUGUGACAGUCUCCUUACCUAACUCUGCUGAUGAAUGGUUUUUCCACCAAGCCGCCGCACACAACUGAUUUUUUGGUCAGUGCCAGGAUUGGGAAAAUGUGCCAGACUGUGAUGCCCUAUUGGAUUUAUAACACUUUCAAAAAUUUCAACAUUUGUUAAAGCAUUAAGCUAUGGUGUUGAAAAAAAAAAAAAAGGAAAAAGGGCUCUUGGUGGCCUAAGAGACAGAUCAGAAACAGGGGCUGUCGGGUGGAAUUACGGCUCUACGCCACAAACUGACUUGGAUUUCCUCCUUGAUAAAGAGAAAUACAUACUGAUCUGUCCUUGUCAGCGUGCAGGUAAACUGUUCUACUGGACACACCUUCCAGAGAGGCAGUUCGCAGUAUGUCUCUAAAUCCUUUAAAGUACCUAUUAUUUCGAUGCAGAAAUUCCACUUCUAGAAACUUAUCCUAAGGAAAUAAUAAGAACAUACAAAAAUGUAUCAUGAAGAAGAUUCUGGGGAGAAAAACUGCAAACAACGUUAAGUGCUCAUGAAUAGGGGAUUAGGAGAAUAAAUCAUGAUAUAUCCACAUCUCUCACAUGGCAGAUUUCCAUUCUGCCACACGUUUGUAUGGCACUCCCUCCUCCUGCAAGAACUCAGCAGAGAAGCAGGUGAGCAGCUCGCAGGUGAGCAGCACACAGGUGGCCCCGGGCUGCUGGCUGCAGCGCUACCAUCACCGCGCCAAAGCCUCGCCUAGCACCUCCAACAACCGCCUUGAGAAGCCGGUAAAGGCUAUGGACCUUCUCACCAAAAGAAAGGUCAGCAACGGAGUGUCUGAACCAGAAGACCCAGAUAUACAUUCCCCCCCAGGGUAAUGAAACAAAACCACUUCAAGAGCUCUGGGGAGAUGCAUGGUACACAAGAACCUCACUUUGCAGGAUAAAUGCAAUCCAGAAAGCUCGGCUCUUAUUUUCUCCACUGGUUUCUGGAUAAACUCAGCUAUACUCCCAGAGAAGAAAAUCUCCCUAAAGAGCAUGGUGAUGACUGCAUCCUGGCCUCGGCAGCUGGGCGUGACGUGAUCUCUGCCCCCUCGUGGCCACUCUGCCCUCUCCACUCAGCAGCCUGCCCACUCAAGACCUUCGUAUAUACUGCCUCUUGGCCUGGAAUGUUCUUACUUCUCCAAAGCCUGCCCCUUGGUCCAGUCUCAGCUUAAGUGUCUCCUCCUCCUGCCCUCCCCCUCCCGACCCCAUUAUGUUAGGUUCAUUUCCCACUUGGGCUGGCAGAGGAGGUAGUGGUGAUGGUAAUGACAACACACAAUUGCAACUAAGAUUUCUGGAGUGCUUACUAAGUACCAGGACUUUUCCUCAUUCAUUUUACAUGUAUUUCUCAUUUAAUCCUCCUUAUAAACCAAGGGUGUGGGUACCAUUAUGAUGGUCACUGUACAGCUGGUAUAGUAGUCAGCCCCCAAAAUGGUCCCCAGUGAUUCCCACCGCACUUGUUUAGUCCCCUCCCUCACUGAAUAGGGCUGACCUGUGGAACCAAUAGGAUACUGCAGAAAUGACAGUGUGACUUCCGCCACCAGGUCAUAAAAGACAUAGUGGUUUCUGCCUUGUGGUCUCUUGGAUUGCCUGCUCUGCAGCCACUCAAGCAGCUGUGGAGAGGGCCAUGUGGCCAGGAACUAAAGCCUCCUGCCGACCACCGCCUAGCCAGCCCUGCAAGUGAGCCGCCUUGGAAGCAGACCCUCCAGCCCCAGUCAAGCUGUCAGAUGACUGCAGCCCCAGCUGACAUCCAGCCUGCAAUCUCAGUGGAGACCACAAGCCAGACCCAGCCAGCUAACCCACUUCUAAAUUCCUGGCCCAC